UUGGGGUCCGAGUUGUAAUUUGCAGAGGGUGUUUCGGGCACGGUGCCGGUUUAAGUCCUUUGGAACAGGGCGUCAUAGAGGGUGAGAACCCCGUAUGUGACCGGUCGCCAAACCCAUGUGAAACCCCUUCGACGAGUCGAGUUGUUUGGGAAUGCAGCUCAAAAUGGGUGGUAAAUUUCAUCUAAAGCUAAAUAUUGGCCAGAGACCGAUAGCGCACAAGUAGAGUGAUCGAAAGAUGAAAAGCACUUUGGAAAGAGAGUCAAACAGCACGUGAAAUUGUUGAAAGGGAAGCGCUUGCGACCAGACCUGCUCGCGGGUGAUCAGCGGUGCUUUUCGCGCCGUGCACUCAUCCGCGAUCAGGCCAGCAUCGGUUCAGGCGGCCGGAUAAAGACUCGGAGAAUGUAGCUCCCUCCGGGGAGUGUUAUAGCUCCUUGUGCAAUACGGCCAGCCGGGACCGAGGACCGCGCUUCGGCUAGGAUGCUGGCGUAAUGGUCGUAAGCGACCCGUCUUGAAACACGGACCAAGGAGUCUAACAUCUGUGCGAGUGUUUGGGCGUCAAACCCAUACGCGCAAUGAAAGUGAACGUGAGGUGGGAACCCUUUCGGGGGCGCACCAUCGACCGAUCCAGAUGUCUUCGGAUGGAUUUGAGUAAGAGCACAGCUGUUGGGACCCGAAAGAUGGUGAACUAUGCCUGAAUAGGGUGAAGCCAGAGGAAACUCUGGUGGAGGCUCGCAGCGGUUCUGACGUGCAAAUCGAUCGUCAAAUUUGGGUAUAGGGGCGAAAGACUAAUCGA
rnacentral:rRNA from 1 species